AUUUAUUCCAAAGGAAAUUACUAUGGAGAUCAAGAGAGAUCUAGAAGGAAAGAGCCGUGUUCUCUCAGCAGAUGAUGGGCUGGUGUCGUCCGGGGUUCGCCCAAAUGAGGAUGACACUUUCCAAAGAAGAGACCAUGUGGAGAUUUUGAAGACAGACUCUGGAGUUUACUCUUGCAGAGUCGUCCAUAGAGCCACCAAUGUGGAUGUAGAGACGGCCUGGGAUCGCCAACUUCCUGAUAAUGAUGCAAAAGGAAUUAUUAUUGGUGCUGCUGCUGGUGAGUCGUCUUGAUUGCAGUGGUGAUUGUUGCCGUGGUGAUUGUGAUGCUGAAGAAGAAAAAAGCUGCCAAAC